rnacentral:misc_RNA from 1 species
GAUGAAGAACGUAGCGAAAUGCGAUAAGUAGUGUGAAUUGCAGAAUUCAGUGAAUCAUCGAAUCUUUGAACGCACAUUGCGCCCCUUGGUAUUCCAUGGGGCAUGCCUGUUCGAGCGUCAUUUGUACCUUCAAGCUCUGCUUGGUGUUGGGUGUUUGUCUCGCCUCUGCGUGUAGACUCGCCUCAAAACAAUUGGCAGCCGGCGUAUUGAUUUCGGAGCGCAGCACAUCUCGCGCUUUGCACUCAUAACGACGACGUCCAAAAGUACAUUUUUACACUCUUGACCUCGGAUCAGGUAGGGAUACCCGCUGAACUUAAGCAUAUCAAUAAGCGGAGGA